rnacentral:lncRNA from 1 species
GGUGUGUGUGUUUUUUGGUUGACUAGAAACAGAGAAAGAAAAAGGGUAAAGCUCCCCACAACCUAAAAUCAUCAAUUUCUUUAAAUCAAAAGGGAAAUCGGGUCUAAAGUUAGUGCAUGAACCGAAAAUACCGAUCAUCUAAGCUAGAAGAUCAUAAGGCAAUUUGGGUGAAGCAUCGGGUAGCCAAGCCGGAGCAAACGCACGGUUGAAGGAAAAGCUAUAAGGUGAUUACUAGGAAGCAACAGAUGAAGAUGAAGAUCAAUUUUAAAGAAGAACCGAACACAACUAAACGUCAUGCUUCUGCUUUUUGUCCUUUUCAUUAUGGAAACUAACUAUGUUAGCAUGAUAAAUGCUUGAUACACUAUAAGUUUUGUGAAACCCAGAUUUUGUAAUGACGUGCACCUAUAUAUAUAUAUAUAUGUAUAUAUAUAUAUAUGCAAAAUUUUAUGAAACUUUAAUUAUU